AUGUUGGUGAGUCUUGUGACCCCAAAGCACCACCCAAAAAAGAAGGCUAAGAUAAAGCACAUUGUUGAGGAUCCACUAGUUAUCACUCUCAAAGAUGGGUUCAAACUUGUGGCUGAAGCGCUUGUGAAGUCUAGUGGAGAUGAUGAUGACAUACCCGAUGACCUUUGGGACGUAAUAUCCACAUUGCCAGAUUUUGAAGAAGAGCAUCUAGCCCACUACUAUGCUCAUCUUUUGGACAACCCCAAGACUGCAAGAGCCUUCAUGAAACUUACCAAAAUCAACAAGUCUGUUUGGGUGAGUAGGUAUGCCAAGAAGAACUUCUAA
rnacentral:rRNA from 1 species